rnacentral:rRNA from 1 species
GACGAACGCUGGCGGCGUGCCUAAUACAUGCAAGUAGAACGCUGAAGGAGGAGCUUGCUUCUCUGGAUGAGUUGCGAACGGGUGAGUAACGCGUAGGUAACCUGCCUGGUAGCGGGGGAUAACUAUUGGAAACGAUAGCUAAUACCGCAUAAGAGUAGAUGUUGCAUGACAUUUACUUAAAAGGUGCAAUUGCAUCACUACCAGAUGGACCUGCGUUGUAUUAGCUAGUUGGUGAGGUAACGGCUCACCAAGGCAACGAUACAUAGCCGACCUGAGAGGGUGAUCGGCCACACUGGGACUGAGACACGGCCCAGACUCCUACGGGAGGCAGCAGUAGGGAAUCUUCGGCAAUGGACGGAAGUCUGACCGAGCAACGCCGCGUGAGUGAAGAAGGUUGUCGGAUCGUAAAGCUCGGUUGUAAGAGAAGAACGAGUGUGAGAGUGGAAAGUUCACACUGUGACGGUAUCUGACCAGAAAGGGACGGCUAACUACGUG